CAUAUUGGUGUUAGAAUACCGGUCCAUGUUUUCCUCUUCCUUAAAUUGUAUGUUCUCUGUGCUUCAGAAGGAAGUGGACCAGUUUCAUAAUUUUUUUUCUUUGAGCUGUAUUAAUUUCACUUUUGACAUAAUUUCAUUUGAUGAAAGUUAACAGUGUAAGUGUUCAUAGAUAUUAAUGAAAUCAAUUAUGAAAAUCAAGUGCCUGUUAGAACAAGCUGAAAAUUCUAAAAGUUAUUAAAAUUUGGAAGUGUGUUUAAAAUUUGAAUAGUUUAUUUUCAGAAUUCUU
rnacentral:lncRNA from 1 species